rnacentral:rRNA from 1 species
AGAGUUUGAUUCUGGCUCAGGACGAACGCUGGCGGCGUGCUUAACACAUGCAAGUCGAACGAUGAAGCCUAGCUUGCUAGGUGGAUUAGUGGCGAACGGGUGAGUAAUACGUGAGUAACCUACCUUUAACUCUGGGAUAAGCCUGGGAAACUGGGUCUAAUACCGGAUACGACCAAUCUCCGCAUGGGGUGUUGGUGGAAAGCGUUAUGUAGUGGUUAUAGAUGGGCUCACGGCCUAUCAGCUUGUUGGUGAGGUAAUGGCUCACCAAGGCGACGACGGGUAGCCGGCCUGAGAGGGUGACCGGCCACACUGGGACUGAGACACGGCCCAGACUCCUACGGGAGGCAGCAGUGGGGAAUAUUGCACAAUGGGCGCAAGCCUGAUGCAGCGACGCCGCGUGAGGGAUGACGGCCUUCGGGUUGUAAACCUCUGUUAGCAGGGAAGAAGAGAGAUUGACGGUACCUGCAGAGAAAGCGCCGGCUAACUACGUGCCAGCAGCCGCGGUAAUACGUAGGGCGCGAGCGUUGUCCGGAAUUAUUGGGCGUAAAGAGCUUGUAGGCGGUUUGUCGCGUCUGCUGUGAAAGGCCGGGGCUUAACUCCGUGUAUUGCAGUGGGUACGGGCAGACUAGAGUGCAGUAGGGGAGACUGGAAUUCCUGGUGUAGCGGUGGAAUGCGCAGAUAUCAGGAGGAACACCGAUGGCGAAGGCAGGUCUCUGGGCUGUAACUGACGCUGAGAAGCGAAAGCAUGGGGAGCGAACAGGAUUAGAUACCCUGGUAGUCCAUGCCGUAAACGUUGGGCACUAGGUGUGGGGGACAUUCCACGUUUUCCGCGCCGUAGCUAACGCAUUAAGUGCCCCGCCUGGGGAGUACGGCCGCAAGGCUAAAACUCAAAGGAAUUGACGGGGGC